AUGUUACGUGUAGUAGUUGUGGGUG
rnacentral:piRNA from 1 species